rnacentral:lncRNA from 1 species
UGAUCACAGUCACGAUACCGAAUAAUGUAUUUAGCUCAGGGAUGAAAUAGAGGUCCUGAUUCGAUAUAGCUACCUCAAAAAAUUCUGACGAGACCAUCCGACUCAACCUCCCACCGACCAACAACCUCAGCCACAACCCAAAGAAACGAUCAACAAUCAGCCAAUGAUGGGAGUUAUUAACAUGAUCUCUGGGCGAUCGAAGGAUUGAAGAGCAACUUCUGAAGAAGUGUCGACAAAGAAGUGACGACUUAAUAAUGUAAUCUCUUUUUCAGAAAAUGAUACUCAAAGAAUACAAAUUUUUCAUGAUGAUGCUAUCAUCAUCGAG